GACGAACGCUGGCGGCGUGCUUAACACAUGCAAGUCGAACGGAAAGGCCCUGCUUUUGUGGGGUGCUCGAGUGGCGAACGGGUGAGUAACACGUGAGUAACCUGCCCUUGACUUUGGGAUAACUUCAGGAAACUGGGGCUAAUACCGGAUAGGAGCUCCUGCUGCAUGGUGGGGGUUGGAAAGUUUCGGCGGUUGGGGAUGGACUCGCGGCUUAUCAGCUUGGUGGUGGGGUAGUGGCUUACCAAGGCUUUGACGGGUAGCCGGACUGAGAGGGUGACCGGCCACAUUGGGACUGGGGUGCGGCCCAGACUCCUACGGGAGGCAGCAGUGGGGAAUAUUGCACAAUGGGCGGAAGCCUGAUGCAGCAACGCCGCGUGCGGGAUGACGGCCUUCGGGUUGUAAACCGCUUUCGCCUGUGACGAAGCGUGAGUGACGGUAAUGGGUAAAGAAGCACCGGCUAACUACGUG
rnacentral:rRNA from 1 species